rnacentral:other from 1 species
AAGUUCCUGAGGUGUUUGGUACGGUUGCAUUUAUUUAUCCAACACAGUGUACAGGGGACAUCGCGUCGGAGAGUUGCUGUCGAGCCGGCUGCGACCGGAAGGCAAACGCUCGCCGCAGAUGACCCACCUAUCAACAUGAUAGGGUACAUAGAUUCAAUCGGCCGGCAUAUCGGGAUUCGA